rnacentral:pre_miRNA from 1 species
ACCAAACCUGUCACAAUAGGUACCCGAACACUAGCAUUGACUUGUCUAUAUAAUGCAGUAAGUGCUAAUUGUUGGGAAGUUUGACUUGA